AAAAAGCCUUGGAAAAGAAAAGAAAUAAAAGAAAAAGAGAAAGAUAAAACAAACUCCCAGCUUGGCCCAGCCAAACUCCCUCCCAGCUUCCCCCUCGUUCGGCCCACUGGCCGCGCGCGUGAAAGCCAGCCUAGCAGGAGCCACCGCGCCCCUUCCCCCUCUCUCUCUCACUGCCAUCAGGGCCCGCUAGUUAGCACCCCCCCC
rnacentral:lncRNA from 1 species